rnacentral:lncRNA from 1 species
GCCACGCAGAAAAAGGAGGGGUUGAAAAGGGAGUAGCUUCUGAUAUUCAGUAAGUACGAAUCGGCCUUAGGUUCCCUGCCUCAAGACCCUAUUCUCCUGCCUCACUUUUAGCUAAGGGUUAUUACAAAAGAGUCAGAAAGUUAAGACAAAAUAUGAAAGUUUAUAAAGUAAAAAGAGUUACAGUGAGCUAAGUAUAACUUAUUGAAAACAUUUUUUUAAUUUAGUAUAGCCUAACUGUGUUUAUACAGUCUACAGUAGUAUACAGUAAUAUCCUAGACCUCCACAUUCCCUCGCCACUCACUCACUCACUCACCGACUCACUCAGAGCAACAUCCAGUCCUGGAAGCUCCAUUCACAGAAGCUAUUGGAAGAGAUGCUCAAAGAAGAAAAAAUUACCAUAAUCCAAUAAAGAAGAAGACCUGAGAUCCAGGAAGCAGAUGAUCUGAACUGCAGAGAAAGUUCAGGAAAGUUCCCUCAUUCAUGAUGAUGGGAAAUAACAGUAAAUUCUGUACAGCAGUCUUGGACAACAACCAAUCUAAACUGGCACAGUGCAGAGGCAAUCAACAGAGAACAUAAUAUUGAUAGAAUGCCUGACGCUUUUGAUUGUAUUCACAGGAAACAUAAACAAUUGGAAGACAGUUUAUGAAUGAAUUAGUGAUAAGCAUUUUUUUUCAACUUUUAUUUUAGAUUCAAGGGUACAUGUGCAGGUUUGGUGCCUGGGUAUACUGGGUGAUGCUGAGGUUUGUGUUACAAAUGAUCCCAUCAUCCAGGUACUGAGCAUGGUAUCCAGUAGUUAGUUUUUAACCCUUCUCCUGUCUCUCUCCUGGUGGUCCCCAGUUUCUACUGUUGCCAUCUUUAUGUCCAUGAGUAUACAAUGUUUAGCUCCCACUUGUGAGAACAUGCGUAUUUGCCUAUUUAAUUAUUUGUUUAUUUGUUGAGACAUAGUUUCACUCUCUAGCCCGAUCUUGGCUCACUGCAACCUACGCUUCCUGUGUUCAAGCGAUUCUCUUGCCUCGGCCUCCCCAGUAGCUGAGAUUACAGGCACCUACUACCAUGCCUGACUAAUUUUUGUAUUUUAAUAGAGAUAGGGUUGCACCCUGUUGGCCAGGCUGGUUUCAAAUUCCUGAUCUCAAGCGAUCCACUCACCUUGGCCUCCCAAACGGCUGGGAUUACAGGCUUGAGCCACCACGCCCAGCCACUAUUUGCUUUUCUAUUCCUGCAUUAAUUUGCUUAGGAUAAUAGCCCUCAACUUCAUCCAUUUUGCUGCAAAGAAAAUAAUUUUGUUCUUUUUUAGGGCUGCAUAGUAUUCCAUGGUGUAUAUGUACCACAUUUGUUUUAUUUAAUCCACUGUUGAUGGACACCUGGGUUUAUUCUAUGCCUUUGCUACUACAAAUAGGGCUGUGAUGAACAUGCAAAGGCAUGUGUCUCCUUGAGAUAAAUAUUUUAAAAAUACAAUAAAAUCAAAAAAAUUAAUGUCAGGGCUAACAUACAGUUAUUAGAAAAAAAAAUAUUUUGUUAUUAUAGAUAGACACUAGCUUUAACAUAAUAAUAGUUAUGUAAGUAGUCGAAGUUCAUAUGAUCAAAAUUAUUAUUUAGCUGUUUUAAAAGAAUGCAGAUAUAAGAGAUAUACCAUUAAUGGUGAAUAGUUCCAGUAAAAGCAAGCUAAGCUCUCUUUCACAUUCCAUAGAGGGAAUUUAAUAAGCCCUGAAACCGAAAGUUCAAGAAGGAAAAGUGCAAGUCCUACAUGAAUUGAUCAAUGAUUGCCUCUGGAAAUUAUUGGUGUGAAUGGGGAGGCAAAAUUGCUAGUUUGGUUAAUAAGCUAUGUAACUGUUUGAUAAUUCUUCACUUGCAUGUAAACUUCGGUACAAAUAAAAGCUAAUGAAAACAGAGACAGAAUUAUUAAAUCAUCAUAACAUAAAGUUAACAUUUUUCAUCAUUUUUCACUUGUUCAAAGAUCAUAAGAAAUUUUCAUCUUAAUUUUCAAGCAUCAACUAAUGUUUCUACUCUCCCUGAGUACCAUAAAAAGCCUUCUGUGGACAGUCUAAGUGACAAUGACACAUUAGAUUUGGCAAAAAUUACUUUCAGAUGUAAAUCAAUUUGAGAAUGAACUGAUGCUCUGAAACCGGAAUUUACUUGUUGCUCAAAUUUGCCCCAAAAUAAAAUAA